CACGUAGGGUGCAAGCGUUGUCCGGAAUCAUUGGGCGUAAAGAGCUCGUAGGCGGCUUAGUAAGUCGGGUGUGAAAACCCCAGGCUCAACCUGGGGACGCCACCCGAUACUGCUAUAGCUAGAGUCCAGUUGGGGAGUGUGGAAUUCCCAGUGUAGCGGUGAAAUGCGCAGAUAUUGGGAGGAACACCAGCGGCGAAGGCGGCACUCUGGGCUGGUACUGACGCUGAGGAGCGAAAGCGUGGGUAGCGAACAGG
rnacentral:rRNA from 1 species